CUACGGGAGGCAGCAGUGGGGAAUUUUGGACAAUGGGCGCAAGCCUGAUCCAGCAAUGCCGCGUGAGUGAAGAAGGCCUUCGGGUUGUAAAGCUCUUUUGUCAGGGAAGAAACGGUUGAGGCUAAUAUCCUAGGCUAAUGA
rnacentral:rRNA from 1 species